rnacentral:rRNA from 1 species
AACGAACGCUGGCGGCAGGCUUAACACAUGCAAGUCGAACGCCCCGCAAGGGGAGUGGCAGACGGGUGAGUAACGCGUGGGAAUCUACCCAGUUCUACGGAACAACCGUUGGAAACGACUGCUAAUACCGUAUACGCCCUACGGGGGGAAAGAUUUAUCGGAAUUGGAUGAGCCCGCGUAAGAUUAGCUAGUUGGUGAGGUAAUGGCUCACCAAGGCGACGAUCUUUAGCUGGUCUGAGAGGAUGAUCAGCCACACUGGGACUGAGACACGGCCCAGACUCCUACGGGAGGCAGCAGUGGGGAAUAUUGGACAAUGGGCGCAAGCCUGAUCCAGCCAUGCCGCGUGAGUGAUGAAGGCCUUAGGGUUGUAAAGCUCUUUCACCGAUGAAGAUAAUGACGGUAGUCGGAGAAGAAGCCCCGGCUAACUUCGUGCCAGCAGCCGCAGUAAGAC